GAUGAACGCUGGCGGCGUGCUUAACACAUGCAAGUCGAGCGGAAAGGCCCAAGCUUGCUUGGGUACUCGAGUGGCGAACGGGUGAGUAACACGUGGGUGAUCUGCCCUGCACUUCGGGAUAAGCCUGGGAAACUGGGUCUAAUACCGGAUAGGACCACAUUUUGGAUGGUGUGGUGGAAAGUUUUUCGGUGUGGGAUGAGCUCGCGGCCUAUCAGCUUGUUGGUGGGGUAAUGGCCUACCAAGGCGUCGACGGGUAGCCGGCCUGAGAGGGUGUACGGCCACAUUGGGACUGAGAUACGGCCCAGACUCCUACGGGAGGCAGCAGUGGGGAAUAUUGCACAAUGGGCGCAAGCCUGAUGCAGCGACGCCGCGUGGGGGAUGACGGCCUUCGGGUUGUAAACCCCUUUCGCUAGGGACGAAGCGCAAGUGACGGUACCUGGAGAAGAAGCACCGGCUAACUACGUG
rnacentral:rRNA from 1 species